rnacentral:rRNA from 1 species
CCUACGGGGGGCAGCAGUGAGGAAUAUUGGUCAAUGGACGAGAGUCUGAACCAGCCAAGUAGCGUGAAGGAUGACUGCCCUAUGGGUUGUAAACUUCUUUUAUAUGGGAAUAAAAUGUUCCACGUGUGGGAUUUUGUAUGUACCAUAUGAAUAAGGAUCGGCUAACUCCGUGCCAGCAGCCGCGGUAAUACGGAGGAUCCGAGCGUUAUCCGGAUUUAUUGGGUUUAAAGGGAGCGUAGGUGGAUUGAUAAGUCAGUUGUGAAAGUUUGCGGCUCAACCGUAGAAGUGCAGUUGAAACUGGCAGUCUUGAGUACAGUAGAGGUGGGCGGAAUUCGUGGUGUAGCGGUGAAAUGCUUAGAUAUCACGAAGAACUCCGAUUGCGAAGGCAGUUCACUGGACUGCAACUGACACUGAGGCUCGAAAGUGUGGGUAUCAAACAGGAUUAGAUACCCCGGUAGUC